GAAAUGGGUUGGAAUAAUGAGAGGAGACUUCAUGGAAAAGACAUAGGCUAAGGAUGGAGGCAGAGGAAUGGAGAUGCUAUACAGUCUUGUUGCUAUUGGGUACAAUUCUUGUGUGACCUUCAUCUCCAUGAAUGAAAUGCAGAAACAACUUCCUCUCCGCCCCCAAAAGGAAGCAGAGAGAACCUAGUGAGUGAUUUAGAGGAGAAGUGCCAGGUGGGGAAAGAGAAAACAAUGACCACAUGCUCCUUUCCUACAAAGCUGCUGGCCCAGAAAGCUGCAGGAGGAGAGAAUCCUUAACUCUACACACUUAAAUGUAGACAAAAGUUGGGAGCCAUGUCAUUUCAGAAAACCCAUCAAUUCCUUGAGAGAGAGAAUCAUCUAUAGAUAAUGAAGGCAGAAGCUUUCCUUGUGCUAUGGACCACAUUUUAAUUCCCAGAGACUGUCUUAUUAAUCUUCAAAUGCAAUAUGUGAACGGUG